rnacentral:rRNA from 1 species
CCUACGGGUGGCAGCAGUGGGGAAUAUUGGGCAAUGGGCGCAAGCCUGACCCAGCAACGCCGCGUGAAGGAAGAAGGCCCUCGGGUUGGAAACUUCUUUUAUCAAGGACGAAACAAAUGACGGUACUUGAUGAAUAAGCCACGGCUAACUACGUGCCAGCAGCCGCGGUAAUACGUGGGGGGCAAGCUGUAUCCGGAUUUACUGGGUGUAAAGGGUGUGUAGGGGGGACUGCAAGUCAGAUGGGAAAACCAUGGGCUCAACCCAUGGCGUGCAGUUGAAACUGUAGUUCUUGAGUGUUGGAGAGGCAGGCGGAAUUCCGGGUGUAGCGGUGAAAUGCGUAGAUAUACGGAGGAACACCAGUGGCGAAGGCGGCCUGCUGGACAAUAACUGACGCUGAGGCGCGAAAGCGUGGGGAGCAAACAGGAUUAGAUACCCGUGUAGUC